CCUGGGUGGGAGCACAGGACCUUGAGCUGCUGUUAGUGGAGGGAGGUGGGUGGGGAGUUGGAUCCUGGCAUUUUGGGGAAGGAGGAGGGAUUGGAUGCUCCUUUCACCCCACUUAUCUCAGGGCCCUUUUCUUUCCUACCCGGGGGGCAGACAGCCCGUGUGAUGUUUGCUGAGCUGACCUGCAGGGAGGCUGAUGGACCCAGGGGAUGGGAACGGGGCUGUGUCGGGUUCGCUGCUCUGGGAAGGACGCGCGUUAGAGCAGAGCAGGCGUGAGGACCAGGACUUGCAGGUUGUGCCCUGCUCUGGCUCUUCGAAAGGAGUGCUGUCCAGCAUGCCAUAGUGAGGGGCAUGGUUUGGGGGGACUCCUGGGUCCUGUUUCUAGCUGAGGGAAGGAGGUAGGUGAAAGGGGGUGGGAGGAAGGCUCUGUGGCUCAGGACUCCUGGCUUCUUUUGGGGAUCUGUCACUUCCCCAGAAUGAACCCACAAAUCAUCUGUGCAUUGAGUCAAUCGAUCCCUUGGGUGAUGCUGUCAGCACGUACAUGGAGCGGUGAUCAACGUGAGCCAUGAUGCACGACUGAUCACGCAGACCAGCUGCCAGCUCUGGGUGGUGGAGGAGCAGUCCAUCAGCCACAUCAACGGCGACUUCGACUGCAAGCGGGAGGUGCUGGAGGCCUCGGGCCAGGUCAGCAUUAACUGGCCCCGGGAGUGACCUUGCUGUGGGGAGGCUCCUCGAGGACCUGCCCAUCCCCUCUCAGAGACCUGCCUGCACAGCUUCACGUGCACCCACACCCAGAGGACUCCGUGUAGAGGGGGCAGGGCCGCAGGCAUGGUUGCGGGUUGAACUUUGAAGAUGUGUUUUGGGGGCCUAAUGCAAGACAUGUUAUAUUUUUAGAGCUGUUCUUCUACACCUGCUGCUUUCCCAGGAGAGAGAGACUUAAUUUAUAUGAAUGGGAGGGAGGGGGUUGUACUGGAACGGUCUGUUUUAGGCAGGAGUGAGGGCUGUCCUUGUCCCAUUGCUGGGUUCCCUGCCCCCAGUCUGGAGAAUGACUUGAGCCUUGUUUUGCUUCCACCCAAGAAGAUUAUAUUAAAAUAUAAUAAAGGAAAA